rnacentral:lncRNA from 1 species
GACCGGGAUAAAUUACAAAGACUGACUCAGAAACUUAAGAAUUAUUCUUAGUUUCGAAAAGCUAACUCAUAUUUUAGACCAGGAUGCACUUGUGUUACCAGCUCAUCCAUCCCCUGAUUAAUGAACCACACUUGAGAAGUGGAUGGAUGAGGAUAAUAAGGCGAAAUACUACAUUCUAGCAUCCAUGUCUAAUGAUCUUUAGCGAUCGCAUGAAAACAUGAGGACUGCCAAAGAGAUGCUGACUCACCUGCAAGAGUUGUAUGGUGAGUAAAAUUAUACAGCUUAUUUUGAAGUCUCCCGAAGACUAUUC